UACGUAGGGGGCAAGCGUUGUUCGGAAUUACUGGGCGUAAAGGGCGCGUAGGCGGCAUGGCAAGUCAGGAGUGAAAGGCCUGGGCUCAACCGAGGAACUGCUUUUGAUACUGCCAAGCUAGAGUGCGGAAGGGGCAACUGGAAUUCCCAGUGUAGCGGUGAAAUGCGUAGAUAUUGGGAAGAACACCUGAGGCGAAGGCGGGUUGCUGGGCCGACACUGACGCUGAGGCGCGAAAGCCAGGGGAGCAAAGCGGGG
rnacentral:rRNA from 1 species